UUAACUAUUAUAUAGUACUCAGACGACAUUAACAAUCAGUGUUUUGGGUCCUCUGGCGGGCGCUGACCAGCCGGAGCCGGCUGUUCGACACAGGGCCAAACGGGCCCGCCAAAGCAACAAAGGUAUGUAUACAAAGGGUGGAGAAUCUACCCCGAAGGGCAGGAACUCUGUAAUGAUCCUUCCGCAGGUUCACCUACGGAAA
rnacentral:misc_RNA from 1 species